rnacentral:rRNA from 1 species
UGGGGAAUAUUGCGCAAUGGGCGAAAGCCUGACGCAGCGACGCCGCGUGAGGGAUGAAGGUUUUCGGAUCGUAAACCUCUGUCAGAAGGGAAGAAACCGCACUGUGCUAAUAAGCAGUGCCUUGACGGUACCUUCAAAGGAAGCACCGGCUAACUCCGUGCCAGCAGCCGCGGUAAUACGGAGGGUGCAAGCGUUAAUCGGAAUUACUGGGCGUAAAGCGCACGUAGGCUGCUUUGUAAGUCAGGGGUGAAAUCCCACGGCUCAACCGUGGAACUGCCUUUGAUACUGCUUAGCUUGAAUCCGGGAGAGGGUGGCGGAAUUCCAGGUGUAGGAGUGAAAUCCGUAGAUAUCUGGAGGAACAUCAGUGGCGAAGGCGGCCACCUGGACCGGUAUUGACGCUGAGGUGCGAAAGCGUGGGGAGCAAACAGG